rnacentral:rRNA from 1 species
UCGCUUACCGACCGCGACCCC